UCUUAUUUUCCUCGCUUUUCACACGUUUCCUACCCUCUGGCUCCGUAUUUCCCCCCGUUUCCUACAUUUCCGGCGGGUUAGUGUCAUGGUGUCUGUUGAAAUGAGGUAUUUCCUGGAGAUAUACCGUAAAAUCGGUGGAUAUAUGAGGUGUUAGGUCCCCCUCUUCAGGUCCUUUGCAUUAGUGAUGGUGAUGUGCAGCAGCGUACGAGAAUGCCUUGGGUCCAAGCCUCCGAUGGCAGUGUUCAGCAUGUCCAUAGUAGGGUUUGCACUGACGCUUGUCGGAGUCUCACUUUACUUCCAGAGCCACAGGACACAGAUUUUGAAUCCAGAUAUUAAGGAUUGGAACAGUUUCUUUACAACACUCUCAGACAUGGAGGUCUGCUUUCCUGCACCACAGUCCCCUGAUGAGGCUGUGCUACGGACAAGAGCCAGACGCGAGCUGGCAACUGCCAGCCUUGCAACCACCACCACCUCAAAUUCUCUGCUUCUGGCAACCGAUGCCCGGGGCAAUGACACAGAGGCCAAUGUGACCAUCAGUGUGUUGGCAGAUGUCCAGGUGCAGAGAAAAGGUGUCAGCCUGGAGGGACUCACCUUGCACUCCUUCGUGGGGGCCAAGUUCUUUGGAUUCAAGAGAGACAAGAGUGUCUUGGAAGUAACCAUAGACUUGGCCAGGCAGAUCUCCAAAAACUGGACUGCUUGCAUGACCCUCUCCGGCCCAGCCCAUCUGCUGCCCAACUCUCCUCAGACGCCUCCGACUUGCACGCCAGUAAAGGAACCCAAGACAAAUGAGGUGUUCUUAGCCCAGCCUUGGUUAGUGCUGGAGGAGGAUGAAUGGUGCAUGAACGGCACUGUGGGAAGUCUCAGUGUCACUCCUCAGCAUGAAUUGAACGUUUAUCUAACAGAGGGUGAUGUAACUCUGAUUCAGGUGCACAUCCUGUAUACCACAUGUCUUCUCUGCGUUAUGAUGAUUGGCCUCCUGUUUUACUUCCUUUGUGGAAAGCGCUGCUCGACACGUACCAAGGCAGCACCUCUUCCUGACAAAGUGCCCCUAAACCCAUGAUGAGCCAAAAGCAUAGAAGUGUUUACAGCACUAUUAAUGCAAUGGACUUGAAGGACCAGUAGGGCAAAGCUGUCAUUACUUUGUAGUAGUGAUGCAUCAUCCCUCUGCUUUGUUAACCCAAUGGAGCCGUGUGUACAAAAGGGAAAAAAAAACUCUAGCUCUAGCAAACAAAGGCAGCACGUCGACUUUGAGCGCGCGAGUACGGGACGUCAACCCGAAUCACUGGCUCGCCGCGCUCUGGCGCACCGCCGGCUCAUUUGGCUACACGCCAGCUUUCGAGCAGUUUGUUUACACACCUAUCGGCGUGACCCGGCACCAAGGGGUUAAUAAUCAAGUAUUUUGCAUUACCACAAAAUUGGUUGUAGAUUAUGAAAUUGAGUGUUUACUAAAGUGUUUUCAUAUUGUUUAGUUGUUUGUAUUCGAUAUAUUUAUUUAUUUACUUCAUUUAAAAUGUAAAAUGGAUUUUACAGAAAUCUACUAAAUUUUAUGUAUUGUCUUGUGCUAUUAAGUUUGGGAAUGAAAAUCUGCAGAAUGUUUGAAUCUGUGAGUGAGUGCAUGUGUGCAUGUCUGUGUUUCUUUGCAAGUAUAUGUAUGGGUGUCUAUACAAGUGUUCAUAUUACACUUGCAGUAAUCUCAUAAUUAUUCAGAUUAUCACUGAGCAAAAGUGUUUAUUUGUGAAACUACUGUCAGUGUUAAAACAUUCCAAAAAACCACUGUAUUAGCUGCAUUCUCUUACAGUUGAUCUGGACAGUCAAAUUAAUAUUUUUCAUUCAGUGGAAAGUGUAUUAAAAUCUUGCAGCAUGAGAGGAGGGGGGAAAGGAAAACAAGAUUUAAAAAAAUAAAUAGUAUAAGCCUAUAUCCAAGUCAUUCCAGUUGUCUAAAAUAGAAGAGAAUAAUAAACUUGAAAGGUAAUGAUAUGACCUGUUAUGACAAAGUCUUGUUAAUUUUCAUGUUAUUUCUGUACUAUCACCAAGUUUAUAUGUUCUUGUGUGACAAAUAAUGUUACAUUACUACUCUAUACACAGUAAAUGUGGAUUUAUUUAACCAUUUGUUACCAUUACUAUAAUCCUUGCAGUAUGCUCAUAUUUUAGAUCAAUCACACUGUGGUAAAGAUAUUCUGGGAAGGACAGAACAGAUUACUGUCUGAUAGCAGCUAUAUCCGUGUGUUGCACCUAUAUAAUUCUAUAGCAGUGUAUCCGUUUGUCAUUUAAUUUUGAAAGGACUUUUAAAUGGCUGUAUCAUUGAGAUGUGUGAGUGAAAGAAAGGUGAGAGGAUUCAGAGGGUGAAAAAUCUCUAUAACCGAUUUGACAUCCAUUGGUAUAUCCAAGGUGCAUGUUUGUGUGUGUGUGUGAGUUGGUCUGUUUGUGUACAGCAUUAUACUUUUUUAUGAGGUAUGCUUGGGUACAUGCAUGCAUACAGCCAUGUGCGCCAACCUUUCCUAGUGCUAUGGUUGUUAAAUGUAUUUGUCUUCAAUGCAUUAUUGGAUCCAUUUUUCAGAGAUAUAUUGUGAAAUGGAAAACCAAUGUGUAUGUGCAUGCAUUUGUAAUGAAAUUUAAAAGUGAAAAAGAAAAUGAAGACAUGAUUGUGCACCAUUAAAAGAAGAAAAAAUAUAUAUAAGUAAAGAGGAGGUCAUUAUAUAUA